GAUGAACGCUAGCGGCAGGCCUAACACAUGCAAGUCGAGGGGUAACUAGAGUGAUAGCAAUAUUACUUUGGCUAGACCGGCGCACGGGUGCGUAACACGUAUGCAACCUACCUUAUACUGGGGAAUAACUUCGAGAAAUCGGCGCUAAUACCCCAUAACAUUGCGAAGAGGCAUCUCUUUGCAAUUAAAGCUCCGGCGGUAUAAGAUGGGCAUGCGUCCAAUUAGCUAGUUGGUGAGGUAACGGCUCACCAAGGCUACGAUUGGUAGGGGUUCUGAGAGGAUGAUCCCCCACACUGGGACUGAGACACGGACCAGACUCCUACGGGAGGCAGCAGUGAGGAAUAUUGCGCAAUGGACGAAAGUCUGACGCAGCCAUGCCGCGUGCAGGAUGACGGCCCUAUGGGUUGUAAACUGCUUUUGUACGGGAAUAAACCCUUCUACGUGUAGGAGGCUGAAGGUACCGUAAGAAUAAGCAUCGGCUAACUCCGUGCCAGCCGCCGCAGUAAAAC
rnacentral:rRNA from 1 species